AUUGAACGCUGGCGGCAGGCCUAACACAUGCAAGUCGAACGGUAACAGGAAGAAGCUUGCUUCUUUGCUGACGAGUGGCGGACGGGUGAGUAAUGUCUGGGAAACUGCCUGAUGGAGGGGGAUAACUACUGGAAACGGUAGCUAAUACCGCAUAACGUCGCAAGACCAAAGAGGGGGACCUUCGGGCCUCUUGCCAUCGGCUGUGCCCAGAUGGGAUUAGCUAGUAGGUGGGGUAACGGCUCACCUAGGCGACGAUCCCUAGCUGGUCUGAGAGGAUGACCAGCCACACUGGAACUGAGACACGGUCCAGACUCCUACGGGAGGCAGCAGUGGGGAAUAUUGCACAAUGGGCGCAAGCCUGAUGCAGCCAUGCCGCGUGUAUGAAGAAGGCCUUCGGGUUGUAAAGUACUUUCAGCGGGGAGGAAGGGAGUAAAGUUAAUACCUUUGCGCAUUGACGUUACCCGCAGAAGAAGCACCGGCUAACUCCGUG
rnacentral:rRNA from 1 species